UAGAGUUUGAUCCUGGCUCAGAUUGAACGCUGGCGGCAUGCCUUACACAUGCAAGUCGAACGGUAACAGGUUAAGCUGACGAGUGGCGAACGGGUGAGUAAUAUAUCGGAACGUGCCCAGUCGUGGGGGAUAACUGCUCGAAAGAGCAGCUAAUACCGCAUACGACCUGAGGGUGAAAGUGGGGGACCGCAAGGCCUCAUGCUAUAGGAGCGGCCGAUGUCUGAUUAGCUAGUUGGUGAGGUAAAGGCUCACCAAGGCGACGAUCAGUAGCUGGUCUGAGAGGACGAUCAGCCACACUGGGACUGAGACACGGCCCAGACUCCUACGGGAGGCAGCAGUGGGGAAUUUUGGACAAUGGGCGAAAGCCUGAUCCAGCAAUGCCGCGUGUGUGAGGAAGGCCUUCGGGUUGUAAAGCACUUUUGUCCGGAAAGAAAUGGCUCUGGUUAAUACCUGGGGUCGAUGACGGUAUCGGAAGAAUAAGGACCGGCUAACUACGUGCCAGCAGCCCCGGUCAA
rnacentral:rRNA from 1 species